ACUUUUAAAGGAAACAAGUCAUCCACUGGUCUUAGGCAUCAGCAUUCU
rnacentral:tRNA from 1 species